UCCAGUUUUCCCAACAUUCAGGGGCAUGUGAAACUGUGAACCAAAAAAAGCACAAAAUUGUGAACAACACAGCACUAAAAUGCCACAAAAAGGACAGUAGGAGCUGAAACAAGAAGGCAGACCGUCGCCUUGUUCAACCUCCGCUGGGAACACGCGCACCAGGCAGUUCAAAUGUCUCCCCGCUCCACACAUGUACUGGAAUGUCUGUGAAAACACGAGUAUUGAUUUUGGGAGUUACACAUAAAAUCGUUGCUGAUUGAGAGAUGAGGUCCAUGAAAAGGAGACCCCAGCCACCCAAGCUCUGGCCUGCUUCUCCAGGAAAUGCCCAGGCAUAACUCUAGCCCCACCGUGAGAAAAAUAUCGGACAAAUUCUAAUUGAGGAACAUUCUACAAAAUUCCUGACCAUACUAGUCAACAUUGUCAAGGUCACCAAAAACAAGGAAAGUCGGAGAAAUGGUCACAGCCCAAAGAAGCCUAAGGAGAUGUGACAACAGAAUUGUAAUAGGGCAUCUUGGAGCAGAAAAGAGACAUUAAGGAAAAAAAAAGGAAAUCUGAAUGAACUGUGGGCAUACCUUAAUCAUCAUGUAUGGAUAUUGGUUUUUGAAUAGUGAUGUAUGUGACUUCUAAAGCAGGAGGUCUGUAACAGGAGAAACUGGGCAUGGGGUACACGGGAAUUCUCUGUACUACCUCAU